UCCGAGUUGACCCCGGCAGUCUCCUACGAGUCCCCGGCAUUACCCGCUGGCAACAUAGGACAAGGGUUGCGCUCGUUGCGGGACUUAACCCAACAUCUCACGACACGAGCUGACGACAGCCAUGCAGCACCUGUGCAGGAGUCCCGAAGGAGGGCGCUGGUUUCUCAGCGCUUGCCCCUGCAUGUCAAGCCCAGGUAAGGUUCUUCGCGUUGCGUCGAAUUAAACCACACGCUCCACCGCUUGUGCGGGCCCCCGUCGAUUCCUUUGAGGUUCAGCCUUGCGGCCGUACUCCCCAGGCGGGGUACUUACUGCGUUAGCGACGGCACCGGAGGGGUCGCUCCCCCCGACGCCUAGUACCCAUCGUUUACGGCGUGGACUAC
rnacentral:misc_RNA from 1 species